rnacentral:rRNA from 1 species
UACGGGGGGGGCAAGCGUUGUUCGGAAUUACUGGGCGUAAAGGGCUCGUAGGCGGCCAACUAAGUCGGAUGUGAAAUCCCCAGGCUUAACCUGGGAACUGCAUCCGAUACUGGAUGGCUUGAAUCCGGGAGAGGGAUGCGGAAUUCCAGGUGUAGCGGUGAAAUGCGUAGAUAUUGGGAAGAACACCUGAGGCGAAGGCGGGUUGCUGGGCUGACACUGACGCUGAGGCGCGAAAGCCAGGGGAGCAAACGGG